UACAAUAUUCACCGGUUUGUUAUGAAUGUGUUUGAGCUGAAACUUUCAAAGAGCAUUUUCUUAUUAAUUUUGUUAAAGAAAAUAUAAUGACAACUCAAAAGAUUUCCUAUUAUAAUGAAAUCUCCAUGAUGAUGUAUGGAUUUGGAGACAGCCACCAGCCUGACAAGGAUACAGUAAAUUUGGUUGAAAGUAUAGUUUUGAACCAGCUCCAAACUAUUGUCAAGGAAGCACAGAAAUAUGGGGAUGGCAAAAUAGUAAAUGCUCAGGAGUUAGUGUUUUUAUUGAGGCAUAAUAAAUGUAAAAUGCAGAGGUUUGUCCGCUACCUAAACAAUAAAGAAAUCACCAAAGUAGCGUAUGGCAGCACAACAGCAACCCCAAAUUUUACUCCUAAAAUAGACGAAACUCCCUUCAUAGAAAUUGAUCCAGAAGACCGUCCCAAAAACAAACUUAUUGAAUUUAUUGAGUUACUUGAUGAGACUGGUGAGUUUAUGGAUCUCUCAGAAGAGGACGAAGUUAAAAUGGAAAGGAUGGUAAGGGCAGACAGAAUAUCCCAAGAGUUAAAUGAGGAGAAAUAUAUUGAGUUUGCAAAGGCCAGAUGCAGUUCUUUUAAAGUAAAAAGUCGAACAAUGGCAGAAAAUAUGAAGCAAUGGAUAGACCCAAAAAAUGAGACUGUAAUUAAUGCUGAUGCUUUAGACGUUUUAAGUUAUUUUGCACAUGAAACUGUAGCAGAGAUAGUGGAUUGUGCGCUUUUAGUUAGAGAAGAUGCAAAAUCAGGCACUGAUCCAGUAAGACACUUGCCAGGUUCUUAUUAUUCAGCUGUAAUGUUUAAUGGAGCACAUAGAUUUGAGGAAAAGAAGCCAGAUUAUACUAGAGUCCAUAGCGGGCAACUUCCAAUCAGCGUAGCAGAAAUUCAUGAGGUUAUGAGAAGAAUAUACAACAGACAAGCGGGAAAACUCAAUUUUGGAGGAAAAGUUCCAGAAACGCAUUUCUUAUUUGCCCUCUAAUUAUGCCAAGCUUGGAAAAUUUAGAGAAAAUGAUUAAUGCUUUCUUAAGGAAAGCGAAGGUAUAUGGCAAAUUUCAGCAGGAUCAGGUGGACAUAGGUAGGUCAACUCAAAUAGUGAAAAAAUUUGCUACAUUUUUGUAUUUGUUACAAACAUUUUAUACCAUUUUUUAUUUAUUAUUUUGUAAAGUGUAUUAAUAAAUGUAAAAGAAUAAAAAGGAGUUAUUUAUU
rnacentral:misc_RNA from 1 species